rnacentral:lncRNA from 1 species
AAAUAUAUACAUAUUUUGCUGAGAAGUCAAAAGACUUUUUUAAAAUUAAACUAACAAUAUUAAACUAGUCAUGUUUACCAAAAGAUUUACGCAGUUAAAAAUAUUGAAAUUAAAAUCUCCUGACUUUAGCCAAAAAUGGAAAUAUUUUUUCUAGAAAGUGAGGGUUGAAAAGAACAGCUCAAGCAAAGUCUUGACCUCAUGAAAUAGUACUGAAUCCUGCUCACAGCACCAGAAAUAUCAAUCCAAAGGAAGAAGCAGGGGCAAAAAAAUAAAAUUUUAAAGAAUUUACUUCAGCCAAGGUGAGGACAGCUGCCUGGAAGACUCAGAUGCAUGUUACCUAAGAUAUGAACUUUGGCCUUUUUAAUACGGUUUAUAAAGUAAGAAGCAGAAUAAGUAGUCAGCCAUUGUCAGGAAUUCUCGUUAGUUUGCAGAAAUAACAUUGAUUAGUGAUAAGCUGUAUGUUGUUGAACUACAGUCUGAAUUUAGCAAUGAAAUAGCUGGAUCAUAUAAUUCUAUGUUCUAAACAUAGAAGAAGGUACAUUUUAUGGUUUUUUUUUUCCAAGAAAUGUCCACAUUGUUUUUUAUAGUGGCUACACCAUUUUACAUUUGCACCAGGAGUUAAAAAUCAUUCUAAUUUCUCCCUCUUCUUUUUACCGCUUGUUCUUUUAGGGAUUAUGCUGUUGUUUUUCAUAUAAUAGCCAUUCUCAUGUGUGUGAAGUGGUAUCUCAAUAUGAUAGAACAUCAAUUUUUAUAUUUAUUUUAUAAAGUUUUAUUUUUUAUGCUGCCACUAUGCUAAAUCUUGGUAUUUGUCAAAUCUCUUGAGUUUCUAGGUAUAGUAUAUCAUCUACAAAUAGAAAUUAUGUUUUUAUUUUUUUCCUUUGGGAAUCAUGUUUGAUAAUGCUAUGUACAAUAUGCCAAGCACUGUUCUAAGAAGUGUUAAGAUAGUAACAUCAAAAUACAUUGUGAGCAGGAGUGAAGAUACAGACAUUUCUAAAAUUACGGCUGAGAAUGUGACAAAAGACAUCUAAUAGAGAAGAAAGUUCGCUUUAAAAAGGACCUGAAACUUAUUCUCACAAUUAAAAAGUCAACUUUUAUAAGUUACACAGCCUCUUUGUGUCUCACAGCUCUUAUUUGUGAAACAGAUAAUAAUAACAGAUUAUUUAUCGUUGAGUAUAUUAAGAGACAGAAGUAAUAUCCUGACUUGAAAAUUAAAAUAUUUAUUAGUGUAAUUAACUGAGAUAACAGUAAUAAGAAUAUGUCAAUUAUUGGAACAGAUUAGAUAAUAGUUUAAUAGGACCAUCAACAUUUUAAUUCUAUAAAAAAUGUAUGUCUUUCUGUUUACUCUUUACAAAACUACUUAGUCACUCUCUAUUACUUAAUUACUAAAGCCUCCUAAUUCUUAGUAAGGCCUUUCUAGGGCCACCUAAACUUACAGUCUUUAACCACACUGUUUAUGGAUUCCCUUCUUUAGCGCCUUCUUUUUUUCCUUAUCUUGCCUGGUGCAAACCACAGUUUUGCUCUGCUUUUCUGUCUUAUGUGUUUGUAUAAAGACAUCUGCCUUUAUGUAAAUUCUAACCAAUUACAGCUGUGACAUUUUCCUCGAAACAUGUAAAUUCUGUGAGUUCUUUUUUAUUUGAAAUCUCUUGUAUCUUUACCAUAUUAUGGGCACUCAUUUGAAGUAAUAAAUAUUUUUUAAAAAUACCGGAUAAGAAAUUUUGAAACACAGUCAACAAAUAUUCAUAACAAAUAUUAAACUACAGUUGCUUAUUGAGCAUGAAACACUUGUGAUUACAUUUCAAUAGGUUCUGUGCUCUCAAAGUAUGUUUUAAAAAUUUAUUUUUUUCAAUUAAACUUAAGCAGUAUAUUGUUUUUAAAAGUAAAACAAAAAAAAAUACUAUUCACAAUAGCAAAGACAUGGAAUUAACCCACAUUGCUUUCAACAGUAGACUGGAUAAAGAAAAUGUGGUAGGUAUAUACCAUGGAAUACUAUGCAGGCAUAAGAAGGAAAAAGAUCAUGUCCUUGACAGGGACAUGGAUGGAGCUGGAAGCCGCUAUUCUCAGCAAACUUAACACAGGAACAGAAACCCAAACGCUGCAUGCUCUCAUACUAAUAAGUGGAAGCUGAAUGAUGAGAUACAUGGACACCUUGGGGGAACAACACACCCUGGGGCCUGUCAGGGGGCGGGGAAAGCAUCAGGAAGAACAGCUAAUGGGUGCUGAGCUUAAUACAUGGGUGAUGGGUUGAUCUGUGCAGCAAAGUACCAUGACACACAUUUACCUGUGUAACAAACCUGCACAUCCUGCAUAUGUACCCCGGAACUUAAAAGUUGAUUUUUUUAAAAAAGUAAAAAAAUAAAUACCUAAAAGCAGGGGGUAUUUGUGGUACAAAAAUUCAUAGUAAACACAUACCAACUAUUUGAAAACAUAAUCUUAUCUCUUAAUGCAGUUAUAUUCUGCUUUAUUACUUACAUAUUAUAAAAUAUGGAUUCAUGGCAUAAUUGUCAAAGGCUUCCAUCUAUUCCUACCACAUAUCCAUUUUUGCUGAUUUUGUUCAUUUUCUUUUUUUGUUUUUGAUUUGUUCAUUUUCCAACAAAGCUGGGAUAAAAACAUCUUCAUGCUCAUGCUAUAAUAACUUCUCACAAUAUGCCCUGGGUUACUCAAAAGAAAAUGGAGUUGUUUUGCUCAUGUUUUUGACACUUGAGUCAAUCAUCAACAAAUAACAUAAGAGGAGCCAAGGACAUGUGCGUGCCUGUGAAUCAC